rnacentral:miRNA from 1 species
UCAAUCCUCGUACUUCACAACA